rnacentral:rRNA from 1 species
UACAGAGGGGGCAAGCGUUAUUCGGAAUUACUGGGCGUAAAGCGCGCGUAGGCGGCUUUGCAAGUCGGGUGUGAAAUCCCCAGGCUCAACCUGGGAACUGCAUUCGAGACUGCAUUGCUAGAGUAUGGGAGAGGGAAGUGGAAUUUCCGGUGUAGCGGUGAAAUGCGUAGAUAUCGGAAGGAACAUCAGUGGCGAAAGCGACUUCCUGGACCAAUACUGACGCUCAUGUGCGAAAGCGUGGGGAGCAAACAGG